rnacentral:rRNA from 1 species
UGGCGGCGUGCUUACACAUGCAAGUCGUACGAGAACUCUUUAGCUUGCUAAAGAUAGUAAAGUGGCGCACGGGUGAGUAACGCGUGGGUAAUCUACCUCUGAAUCGGGGAUAACAUUGCGAAAGCGAUGCUAAUACCGGAUAAUAUCUCUUAAACUUCGGUUUUUGAGAUCAAAGGUGGUCUCUACAUGUAAGCUACCGUUUGGAGAUGAGCCCGCGUACCAUUAGCUUGUUGGUAGGGUAAUGGCCUACCAAGGCCGCGAUGGUUAGCUGGUCUGAGAGGAUGAUCAGCCACACUGGAACUGACACACGGUCCAGACUCCUACGGGAGGCAGCAGUGAGGAAUUUUGCGCAAUGGGGGAAACCCUGACGCAGCAACGCCGCGUGAGUGAUGAAGGCCCUUGGGUCGUAAAGCUCUGUCAAGUGGGAAGAAAAUGUUUGAUGCUAAUACCAUCAUUCACUGACGGUACCACUAAAGGAAGCACCGGCUAACUCCGUGCCAGCAGCCGCGGUAAUACGGAGGGUGCAAGCGUUAUUCGGAAUUAUUGGGCGUAAAGGGCGCGUAGGCGGUCUCUUAAGUCAGAUGUGAAAGCCCGGGGCUUAACCCCGGAAGUGCAUUUGAAACUAAGGGACUUGAGUAUGGGAGAGGGAAGUGGAAUUCCUGGUGUAGCGGUGAAAUGCGUAGAUAUCAGGAGGAACACCGGUGGCGAAGGCGACUUCCUGGACCAAUACUGACGCUAAGGCGCGAAGGCGUGGGGAGCAAACAGGAUUAGAUACCCUGGUUAGUCCACGCAGUAAACGGUGAACACUAGGUGUAGCGGGUAUUGACCCGUGCUGUGCCGCAGCUAACGCAUUAAGUGUUCCGCCUGGGGAAGUACGAUCGCAAGAUUAAAACUCAAAGGAAUUGACGGGGGACCGCACAAGCGGUGGAGCAUGUGGUUUAAUUCGACGCAACGCGAAAAACCUUACCUGGGUUUGACAUCCCGAAAAGUCUUUCGAAAGAUUGAUGUGCCCUUCGGGGAACUCGGUGACAGGUGCUGCAUGGCUGUCGUCAACUCGUGUCGUGAAAUGUUGGGUUAAGUCCCCAAA